rnacentral:rRNA from 1 species
GGCUUACACAUGCAGUCGAACGAUGAAGCCCAGCUUGCUGGGUGGAUUAGUGGCGAACGGGUGAGUAACACGUGAGUAACCUGCCCUUGACUCUGGGAUAAGCCUGGGAAACCGGGUCUAAUACCGGAUACGACCAUCUGGCACAUGUCGUGGUGGUGGAAAGCUUUAGCGGUUUUGGAUGGACUCGCGGCCUAUCAGCUUGUUGGCGGGGUAACGGCCCACCAAGGCGACGACGGGUAGCCGGCCUGAGAGGGUGACCGGCCACACUGGGACUGAGACACGGCCCAGACUCCUACGGGAGGCAGCAGUGGGGAAUAUUGCACAAUGGGCGAAAGCCUGAUGCAGCGACGCCGCGUGAGGGAUGACGGCCUUCGGGUUGUAAACCUCUUUCAGCAGGGAAGAAGCGCAAGUGACGGUACCUGCAGAAGAAGUGCCGGCUAACUACGUGCCAGCAGCCGCGGUAAUACGUAGGGCACAAGCGUUAUCCGGAAUUAUUGGGCGUAAAGAGCUCGUAGGCGGUUUGUCGCGUCUGCUGUGAAAGCCCGGGGCUCAACCCCGGGUCUGCAGUGGGUACGGGCAGACUGGAGUGCAGUAGGGGAGACUGGAAUUCCUGGUGUAGCGGUGGAAUGCGCAGAUAUCAGGAGGAACACCGAUGGCGAAGGCAGGUCUCUGGGCUGUAACUGACGCUGAGGAGCGAAAGCAUGGGGAGCGAACAGGAUUAGAUACCCUGGUAGUCCAUGCCGUAAACGUUGGGCACUAGGUGUGGGGGACAUUCCACGUUUUCCGCGCCGUAGCUAACGCAUUAAGUGCCCCGCCUGGGGAGUACGGCCGCAAGGCUAAAAACUCAAGGAA